GGUCCCGUAGUGGAGCGGUUUAACACGCCUGCCUGUCACGCAGGAGAUCGCGGGUUCGAUUCCCGUCGGGGCCGCCA
rnacentral:tRNA from 1 species